GAAAUGCGAUAAGUAAUGUGAAUUGCAGAAUUCAGUGAAUCAUCGAAUCUUUGAACGCACAUUGCGCCCUCUGGCAUUCCGGAGGGCAUGCCUGUCCGAGCGUCAGCAAAACCCCCCCUCAAGCUUUUGGCUUGGUGAUGGCGGCCCGGUGGGGAAGAGGCGCGAGCGCGUGCCGACCUCCCACCCCGCUGAAAGGCAUAGGCGGCGGACCCGUGCAAGGCCCCAGGACGUAGUAGACUGCUAUCCGUCCCAUCGAGCCUUAGCCGUGGGAGCCUGCUUGCCUGCGAAACCCUCUCAUCUGCGAGUUUGACCUCGGAUCGGGUAGGGAUACCCGCUGAACUUAAGC
rnacentral:misc_RNA from 1 species